rnacentral:lncRNA from 1 species
AACCACUGAGCCACAUCCCCAGCACCUUUUAAUAUUUUAUUUAGAGACAGAGACUUGCUGAGUUGCUUGAUCUUAAUCUUCUCUUGUGAAGUUCAAUUUGCCAAACUGACAAAAUGCUUUCAAAUCCUCAUUUUAUUCAUCAAAUCAUUAGCAAUGUCUUAAUGCUCUUUUGAGCUAGCAUGCCAUUUUUGCAUGUACAUCAUUAAAUUUGACAAAACUAAAAAUGGAGACUUGUUAUAUGUCUCACAAGUGACCUGUCAAUCAAUACCCUUUGGGUGUGCUUGUCCAAUCACCUGGGGCUCCUCUCAUACCAAGGACAUCACAGGAAAACUCUAACCAAAGGCCUUUUAGACAGCUUUCCAAGGAAUCUCCAUACUGCUUUCCAAAUUGGCUGCACCAAUUUGCAGUCCCACCAGCAAUGUAAGAGUGUACCUUCUCCCCCCCCACCAUCCUCGCCAGCACUUAUUGUUGUUUGACUUGGUAAUGGCUGCCAUUCUUAUUGGGGUGAGAUGGUAUCUUAGAGUAGUUUUAAUUUGCAUUUCUCUGAUUGCUAGAGAUGGUGAGCAUUUUUUCAUGUAUUUGUUAAUUGAUUGUAUAUCCUCUUCUGAGAAGUUUCUGUUCAAGUCCUUGGCCCAUUUGUUGAUUGGGUUAUUUGCUUUUUUGUUGUUUAACUUUUUGAGUUCUUUGUAUACUCUAGAGAUUAGAGCUCUAUCUGAUGUUUGAGGGGUAAAAAUUUGUUCCCAGGAUGUAGGCUCCCUAUUCACCUCGCAUAUUAUUUCUCUUGCUGAGAAAAAACUUUUUAGCUUGAAUUCGUCCCAUUUGUUGAUUCUUGGUUUUAACUCUUGUGCUAUAGGUGUCUUAUUAAGAAAUUUGGGGCCAUCAAUAUUCUUUAAUUUCCCUUCAAAUGUCAUUCUCUCCUGACACUUUGUAAUUCUGAUUCUUAUCUCCCCAUCCCUUCAUACCCAGAGUCAACAUUUAUCCUAAAAUGAUGUCAUAGUUUUGUAUUUUUUAGUGUUUCUGUGUUCUUUCUUGGCUGCUAGCGUUUGUCCAUUGCCUAUUUUGUUUUGUGUAACAGUUUACAUGAACCAUGUUGUACAUAUUGUACAUACCCUUUUCUGACUGUUAACACUAUUCUUGAGACUUACCCAUGUUGGUCGAUGCAGAUUAUUUUCAUCACUGUACAGAAUUAUAUAAAUAAACCAGACG